rnacentral:rRNA from 1 species
UACGUAGGGGGCAAGCGUUGUCCGGAAUCAUUGGGCGUAAAGGGUUCGUAGGCGGUGCGGCAAGUCGGGAGUGAAAUCUCUGGGCUUAACCCAGAGGCUGCUUCCGAAACUGCUGUGCUUGAGUGUGGGAGAGGCGCGUGGAAUUGCAGGUGUAGCGGUGAAAUGCGUAGAUAUCUGCAGGAACACCCGUGGCGAAAGCGGCGCGCUGGACCACUACUGACGCUGAGGAACGAAAGCUAGGGGAGCAAACAGG